rnacentral:rRNA from 1 species
CCUGGUUGAUCCUGCCAGUAGUGAUAUGCUUGUCUUAAAGAUUAAGCCAUGCAUGCCUCAGUACAAACUGUUGUAGAGUGAAACCGCGAAUGGCUCAUUAAAUCGGUUAUGGUUCCUUGGACCUAAAAUUUUACUUGGAUAACUGUGGUAAUUCUAGAGCUAAUACAUGCAUUUCAGUCGUGACCCGAAAGGGAAAGGACGCUUUUAUUAGAUCAAAGCCAAUCGGCCGGCUCGCCCGGUCGUUCCGUUUUGGUGACUCUGGAUAACCUUGGGCUGAUCGCACGGUCUCCGCACCGGCGACGUGUCCUUCAAAUGUCUGCCUUAUCAACUGACGAUGGUAGGUUUUGCGCCUACCAUGGUUGUAACGGGUGACGGGGAAUCAGGGUUCGAUUCCGGAGAGGGAGCCUGAGAAACGGCUACCACAUCCAAGGAAGGCAGCAGGCGCGCAAAUUACCCACUCCCGGCACGGGGAGGUAGUGACGAAAAAUAACGAUACGGGACUCAUCCGAGGCCCCGUAAUCGGAAUGAGAACAUUUUAAAUCUCUUAACGAUUACCCAUUAGAGGGCCAGUCUGGUGCCAGCAGCCGCGGUAAUUCCAGCUCUAAUAGCGUAUAUUAAAAUUGCUGCGGUUAAAAAGCUCGUAGUUUGACCUGUGCCCCGCGCUGCCGGUUCACCGCUCGUCGGUGUCCAACUGGCAUGCGUGCGGGGCGUCCUGCCGGUGGGCGCGAGCCGACCGCGGCGGCAGGCGCUCUCGGGCCGGGCUCCGGCGGUGAGCAAUCGCAGCCGGGCCUGGUUCUCGGGGGCGUUGCGGCCCCGUGGAAGGCGGACCCCGAUCUCACCCGCCGCGGUGCUCUUAACUGAGUGUCGUGCGGGCCGGCACGUUUACUUUGAACAAAUUAACGUGCUUAACGCAGGCCUUUGUCUGCCCGAAUACUAAUGGCAACUGCAACUAGCAUUAAGGAAUUUAUUGUUGGGGGAAAAUAUC